rnacentral:misc_RNA from 1 species
GAUGAAGAACGCAGCGAAAUGCGAUAAGUAGUGUGAAUUGCAGAAUUCAGUGAAUCAUCGAAUCUUUGAACGCACCUUGCACCCUUUGGACUGCUCCAAAGGGUAUGCUCGUUUGAGUGUCAUUGUACUCUCACACUCUCUGAUCCUUUGGAUUUGGGGAGCAGUGGACUUGGGUGCUUGCUGCUUCCUUGUGGCUCACCUGAAAUGCAUCAGUGCAUCUCUCGAUUGGACAUAGUACGGCGUGAUAAGUGUCUUCGCCGGGACCUCAUAUGAGGGUGGCCGAUCGGGAGCUCUGUGCUUUCAAACCGUCUUCGGACAACGCUGACAACUUGACCUCAAAUCGAGUAGGACUACCCGCUGAACUUAAGCAUAUCAAUAAGCGGAGGA